CUCACAGCAGCAGCAAGAUCUUAGGGGCAAUGCCCCAGUUGCUCCUUCUGCCAGCUCUACCCCCACAGGGGGAUGGGACAUUUCAGGCCAGAUAGGGACAAGGCCUGGCUGUCUCCAGCCUGGCCCAGGGCAGGAACACUGUGGUUUACAAACACAGAACAGGGUGUGCAGCCAGACACUGCUAUGGCCUUCACCCAACCUGGCAGGGGAUGCCAGCCGUUCCCACCCCCAUGCCAGCUGGGCUGGAGGACCCCAAAGCUCUGCUGGGCUCAGAACCUACAGCCAGAGCCCUAGUUAGCCCUGCUAGGUCCUGCCCAUAUAGGGUAGGUUGGCAGCAAGGACCCCAACAAAGUGACCUGUGCAAGCUGCUAAUGGGGCAGAUCUUGGGGGCAUCCUCUCUGGAACAGUGUCGCCAAGGAGACCCAACCCAGCCCCAGAACCAGUGCAGGCAAGCUGCCCCUAAGUCUCCUGCAGUGGCGCUCAGAGCUUCCUGACGGGGAUGAGAGAAGAGAAGGGACCUGGGAUCAGAACACUCAUCUGGCAUCCUGGCUUCCAGCUUCCUGCCUGAGCUGCUGCUUUGGAGUCCCUGCCCUGCCUGACCAGUGCCUACGUCCUGUUCUCCUCAGAGUGCGGUCCUCAGCUGACAGGCCUGGGAUGUGAGGAGCUGAGCUCCACCUGAAGGCUCCCGAAGUACGCUGACAAGUUCUCCAGGCCACACUGCCAUCCACAGGCCUCACUGGCCAUCAGCAUUGGUCUUGGCCCCAGAGAGCAUGUAUGAGUUAGGUUUCUGUAACUCUGAAAAUACCCGAGAUACUCAGUUUGGAGAGAGAAAGUGUUUACUUUGGCUCGUGGCUUCAGUGCUUCUGUGAAUGGUGGAGCUGCAGGGUGGGGCUUGAGCAGCCCAUCUUGUGGGCAAAGGCACAGCUCACCUCAUGCAUUUUCUAUUAUGACUUCUGUGGAUGGUCACAGGUGUGAAGAUGAGAUGUGAAGGCCAUGCCUACGUGUGAUUCCCAGACAAGCCAUUUCUUCUUACGAAGUUUUGUAUUAAAAAUGAUUGUACAUUUUAAUUAAAAAUGAAGCUUUAUACAUAGCUACCCACAUAUGUACAAACCAUUCUGAGAGUUUUGG